rnacentral:lncRNA from 1 species
CCCCGGAGGAAAGGCAAGGGCUUAAAUAGGCAAUGGAGCCUGGCGCAGUUAUGGUGGCAGAUGUCCCUAGGCCAACCAGUACCCACCACGUGUCCCACUCACCGCAGCAUAGGGUUGACCGUUCGUGGAUUUUUAUGGCGUGAUGCUUAGGAUCACGUCUUGGUUGGAAUUUCGAAAGGUCCCUUCGAAUCGCCCUGAUUCGAAAAGACUCCAGCACGCGCGCAUUUAAUGCCAAAAUAUCUGGGGGU